CCUUACCCCACACCUAGCUGGUCCUUAAAUUCAGAAGGACAGACCAGAAGUUACUGCUGAGAUAGGACCAGGAAAGGACCCUCCCUGCAUUGGAUCUUGGCCCAAGUCAAUCCCUUGUUUUGUAUUUUCUUGAGCUCACCACCCUACCCCAGGUUUCUAACUUUGUAACUUGCUCUGAUGUGGGUCCCUAACUCCAAAAUCAUUGUGUCCCGAUCGUGGAUUGCAGGGCAUGACCAUCCCCCACCUCCCUCUUGGGGCCCUUGCACAAUGGGGGGCAAGGCUGAAUCACUGUCCUCCUCCCUCCAGGAGCCUCCAGCCCUGUACAUGGGGUGGGGAGACAGUUCUUGCCCACCUCUCCCAUGCACCCCACCCAUUAAGCCACCUGAUGACAUUAAUGAAUAAAAAUGGCAGAAAUUUGUUGCUGGAGCCAGUGAAUGAAGAC
rnacentral:lncRNA from 1 species